rnacentral:lncRNA from 1 species
UAAUGAGAACCAAUCAAACAAACAGCUAGCUAGCUACUGUCUGUACCAGCAUGUCGCCUUUCUUAAUUGCAUGGUGGUUGUCUGUAAUUAUUGGUAUUUACCCAUUAAUUCCCUCUUACCUCAUAAUCACUAGCUCUCUAUUGAAAUAAAUAAAUAUUUACUUUCCUUUUUCCGAUUAUUUUAAUCAUAAAUUAUUUUUAAAAUAAUUUAUUAUUAAUUUUAAAAAAUUAUUAUUUAACUCUUAUA